rnacentral:rRNA from 1 species
GUAAGCUACUAAGAGCGAAUGGUGGAUGCCUUGACUGGUAAAGGCGAUGAAGGACGUACUAGACUGCGAUAAGCUACGGGGAGCUGUCAAGAAGCUUUGAUCCGUAGAUUUCCGAAUGGGGCAACCCAAUGUAUAGAGAUAUACAUUACCUAUAUAGGAGCGAACGAGGGGAAUUGAAACAUCUUAGUACCCUCAGGAAAAGAAAUCAAUAGAGAUUGCGUCAGUAGCGGCGAGCGAAAGCGCAAGAGGGCAAACCCAGUGCUUGCACUGGGGGUUGUAGGACUGCAAUGUGCAAGAGGUGAGUUUAGCAGAACAUUCUGGAAAGUAUAGCCAUAGAGGGUGAUAGUCCCGUAUGCGAAAAACAAACCUUAGCUAGCAGUAUCCUGAGUAGGGCGGGACACGAGAAAUCCUGUCUGAAGCUGGGUCGACCACGAUCCAACCCUAAAUACUAAUACCAGAUCGAUAGUGCACAAGUACCGUGAGGGAAAGGUGAAAAGAACUGAGGUGAUCAGAGUGAAAUAGAACCUGAAACCAUUUGCUUACAAUCAUUCAGAGCCCUAUGUAGCAAUACAGGGUGAUGGACUGCCUUUUGCAUAAUGAGCCUGCGAGUUGUGGUGUCUGGCAAGGUUAAGCAAACGCGAAGCCGUAGCGAAAGCGAGUCUGAAUAGGGCGCUUAGUCAGAUGCUGCAGACCCGAAACGAAGUGAUCUAUCCAUGAGCAAGUUGAAGCUAGUGUAAGAACUAGUGGAGGACUGAACCCAUAGGCGUUGAAAAGCCCCGGGAUGACUUGUGGAUAGGGGUGAAAGGCCAAUCAAACUUCGUGAUAGCUGGUUCUCUCCGAAAUAUAUUUAGGUAUAGCGUUGUGUCGUAAUAUAAGGGGGUAGAGCACUGAAUGGGCUAGGGCAUACACCAAUGUACCAAACCCUAUCAAACUCCGAAUACCUUAUAUGUAAUCACAGCAGUCAGGCGGCGAGUGAUAAAAUCCGUCGUCAAGAGGGAAACAACCCAGACUACCAGCUAAGGUCCCUAAAUCUUACUUAAGUGGAAAACGAUGUGAAGUUACUUAAACAACCAGGAGGUUGGCUUAGAAGCAGCCAUCCUUUAAAGAAAGCGUAAUAGCUCACUGGUCUAGUGAUUUUGCGCGGAAAAUAUAACGGGGCUAAAGUAAGUACCGAAGCUGUAGACUUGCGCACAACUUAGAUUAUUUAAGUUUAGAAUAUGAGAAACUAAGUUAUAUGUUUAGUUAUAUUUUUACUGAUUUUUAUAGAGUAAAGAUAGAAAUAAAACUUAGUAAAAUCAGUAAAAAUAUUCUUAGACUAAAGUUAAGUAGUUUAAGUUGUGUGCAAGUGGUAGGAGAGCGUUCUAUUUGCGUCGAAGGUAUACCGGUAAGGAGUGCUGGAGCGAAUAGAAGUGAGCAUGCAGGCAUGAGUAGCGAUAAUUAAUGUGAGAAUCAUUAACGCCGUAAACCCAAGGUUUCCUACGCGAUGCUCGUCAUCGUAGGGUUAGUCGGGUCCUAAGUCGAGUCCGAAAGGGGUAGACGAUGGCAAAUUGGUUAAUAUUCCAAUACCAACAUUAGUGUGCGAUGGAAGGACGCUUAGGGCUAAGGGGGCUAGCGGAUGGAAGUGCUAGUCUAAGGUCGUAGGAGGUUAUACAGGCAAAUCCGUAUAACAAUACUCCGAGAACUGAAAGGCUUUUUGAAGUCUUCGGAUGGAUAGAAGAACCCCUGAUGCCGUCGAGCCAAGAAAAGUUUCUAAGUUUAGCUAAUGUUGCCCGUACCGUAAACCGACACAGGUGGGUGGGAUGAGUAUUCUAAGGCGCGUGGAAGAACUCUCUUUAAGGAACUCUGCAAAAUAGCACCGUAUCUUCGGUAUAAGGUGUGGUUAGCUUUGUAUUAGGAUUUACUCCGAAAGCGAAGAAACUUACAACAAAGAGUCCCUCCCGACUGUUUACCAAAAACACAGCACUCUGCUAACUCGUAAGAGGAUGUAUAGGGUGUGACGCCUGCCCGGUGCUCGAAGGUUAAUUGAUGGGGUUAGCAUUAGCGAAGCUCUUGAUCGAAGCCCGAGUAAACGGCGGCCGUAACUAUAACGGUCCUAAGGUAGCGAAAUUCCUUGUCGGUUAAAUACCGACCUGCAUGAAUGGCGUAACGAGAUGGGAGCUGUCUCAAAGAGGGAUCCAGUGAAAUUGUAGUGGAGGUGAAAAUUCCUCCUACCCGCGGCAAGACGGAAAGACCCCGUGGACCUUUACUACAGCUUGACACUGCUACUUGGAUAAGAAUGUGCAGGAUAGGUGGGAGGCUUUGAGUAUAUGACGCCAGUUGUAUAUGAGCCAUUGUUGAGAUACCACUCUUUCUUAUUUGGGUAGCUAACCAGCUUGAGUUAUCCUCAAGUGGGACAAUGUCUGGUGGGUAGUUUGACUGGGGCGGUCGCCUCCCAAAUAAUAACGGAGGCUUACAAAGGUUGGCUCAGAACGGUUGGAAAUCGUUCGUAGAGUAUAAAGGUAUAAGCCAGCUUAACUGCAAGACAUACAAGUCAAGCAGAGACGAAAGUCGGUCUUAGUGAUCCGGUGGUUCUGUGUGGAAGGGCCAUCGCUCAAAGGAUAAAAGGUACCCCGGGGAUAACAGGCUGAUCUCCCCCAAGAGCUCACAUCGACGGGGAGGUUUGGCACCUCGAUGUCGGCUCAUCGCAUCCUGGGGCUGGAGCAGGUCCCAAGGGUAUGGCUGUUCGCCAUUUAAAGCGGUACGCGAGCUGGGUUCAGAACGUCGUGAGACAGUUCGGUCCCUAUCUGCCGUGGGCGUAAGAAGAUUGAAGAGAUUUGACCCUAGUACGAGAGGACCGGG